UUUUUUUUUUUUUUUUUUUUGCAGCUUAAAAUGCAUUUGGAAGAUUGAUUCUUUAGAUCCUCACAUUAUAUAAGUUCUGAGUGUAACUGAGUGCAAAGGGAGAGGGGUCUCAUCUUCACCAUAUGGAAACAGUGCGCAUCGCAGCAGCCAACGAAGGGUUUGAAUGAAGAGAGAUAGCCAGGAAGUUAUGAACAGCAUCUAUUUACAGAAUACCUGCACACAGUACUAUUAAUGUGUAUUUUUUACUGUGGACAUUCAUUUUCAGUUUUGAAGACACCCCUGCAAGCUAUCUGAAUACUCUCUUUAUUAGAAUAAUUAUGUUUUUAUUUGCGGGGGACAGCGAGGUCAUCUCUCCUUUUACAGUGUUCUCCAGUGAAUUAUAUUUCAUGGGAAAACAUAUUUAUUCAGAACUUCAUUUUGAUUUAAUAGAAAAAUUGUUCGUGCCGUGGCACUGCAGAAUACUCAUUUUUCUCCAUGUGUUGAUUUUUGGCAUAUAAAUGCCAGAAGCCUCUGUUCUCUUCCCUUAUCAAGAAAGACUUGCCUGAGAUUAAUUUCCUCAUCAUCCUUUCCUUUUAAAGUGGCUGUUUUUCAAUGCCAUUUAAAGACAGAGUUGUGAUAAAUUCCCACAUUCAAUGCGCAGAUUUCAAUGAAAGAAGUCUAUUCCACAGUAGUGAAGUAAUUGAAAUCCAAAUGGAAAGGGACAAAAAAAAUGUAUGAAAUCAUGUACCGUUACUCCAGCCAAUUGUACAGAGGUUCCUUCGCGUGUUUUUUCUUUCUAAUAACAAUUAGUUCUGAAAUAAACUAAUUGCAAAAGUUUCUAAUGCUUUUCCAUAGGGGAAAGGACAUGGUUCUGACACUUCUUUGUAAUUGCAGAUUGCGAUAAUUGUAGACUUCAUAUACCAAACAGAAGACAGUUACUUGAAGAACAAAAAGCGGAGAGCAGCAAAGAGGGAGAGGAGGAAAAUGAAGAAGCUUCAAAGUGCAGAGCAACAUCAGAGCCCGGGAAGUACAAAGCUGUCCCUCACCAGCCCUAAGGACAUGGCCACACAGCCAGUAAGAGAAUUAGCACCCUAGAUAUCUGAUGUAUAGGUCAGCCCAAGCCACCUCUUCACUUAAUGAGCCCUCCCCUCGCUAUGGGGUACCUGGAACAAGGCACUCCUGCACUUCAUUAGCCUUAACCGACUGGAAUAAACGUCCAGGCAAGGCUUAGUUCAAAUUGCCUUGUUUAUUUAAACAGUAACACUCAGCCACGCGUUUUUCUCUCUACGUAUGUGAGGAACAAGCUGGGGAGGGCAGCCAGUGGUUUGCACAAACGCUUGGAUGCAGCUGCAGAGCACUGGCUGGGGUUACAGCUCCGAUACCUGCUCGUUCAGGUGGGCCCAAUCUGAACAAAGGAAGAGAGCCCAACAUCACCCCUUGGUUGAAGCCAUGGAGUCCUUUGCUCUUCUCUGCGUGCUAAGGAUGAACUUUCCUCCGUUAGACAAUAAAUUUUAACUUUUAUUUAUUAAAAGACCUAUUUUUCAAUAGGGAUCACCUUAUCAGGUAACGUUCAGCAGCAUCCUGCAGUGAUGCACACAGCCUCUCCUCAGGCUGGCAUUUCCUUUUCAUUUGCAGUGUUUACUUUGUAAGAAAAUAACCUCACUCAUCAAAACGGGAUUCAGUUCCUUACACGUUCUCAUUCCAAAGUGACUUUAAAAGGCAGAAAGGAAAAGUCCACUUGCCAGCGCUCAGACUUAAUUAGAAAUCCAGGACCCCAAAGGUAUUUAACCAAUUAACCACUUAAUGAUCACAGAUAAGAGUUUAAAACCUGCAGAUUUUUAGCUGCCACAGACCAUCUUCCUCAGCUCUCAUAAAAGAGUUUUAAAAACUAAGAAAGGACCAGCACAAGUCCUUUGUUGGUCUUUUGAUGGCCCUUUGUUCACUGCCAACAGAGUAAGUACAAAACCUGAGAAAAAUCUGAGCUAGUUUGAGCUCCUUAAACAUGUGGGACACAGAAAUGAAGAGUUAUUGCCCUUUGGAGACAGCAUUAUUUUGCUAUGGAGUUGGUUUUGUCAGAUGAAGUUUUAUGACACGUAGUGGCAAUCAUCCAUCUUUGAUGAGCAGACACACACUAAAUCAGAAAGACUGCUCCCCACGGAUCAUCAAGUCACAGUCAACGCAGAGUUGGGUAAAUCAUGAGGCUCUUAAGCAAAUAUUCUUAAUUUGAUGUAAACCGGCUCACUAUUCUGCAAUACUUUAUGCAAAAUCAUGCAUUUUUACUUAGAAUGAUGACAAAGAAUAAAGCGCAAUGAAAACAGGUGAUCUUUGAGAGGGGCUUUGUGAGAACCUUAGACUCGCGACAUGGAGCAGCAGGUCCCUUUCAGAUAGCUGAUAUUCAGGUAGGGCAGGAAAAAAGGUGCUGCAAAUCAAUUCAUCACUGCGAGAGGGAGAAGCCAUUGCCCAAAUCAAUCUGCAAGGUGUCUGAAACAUCUGGGCCAACAUCUGGCUACAGCGCCCUUUAGCCUCCAGAAAGCCACAGACUAACACAGUUGUCAAAAGAAAUCAUCUGUGAAACAGCACGAAAGAAAUAUGAAAGAAGCCACUGUCGUGGAGAGGGGGGUUGCUGCUUUCCAAAAAAGCCCACAUUGAGGCCCAGGCCCGAAUCUGCAUGCAAGGCUUUUACUCAAGCACACAAGUUAAGACCACUCCACUUUCAGGUCACUUCUGUUCCAAAGGCUAGUUUCCAAAUGAAUGAUGGGCAUUUGUUUUCCUCCACUGUAUCCUUUUUUGGGUCACAGAGAUGAUUUAUCUGUCAACAGCUAGGUUCACUGGCCCCAGGCAACUUUUGUCAGUUGAAACCAUUCAAUGAAACACAAAGAACACAGUACCAAUUUUAAAAGGAAAGAAGUAUAAAUAUCCUCUCCCAAGACUGCCUCAUGGAGUCUUUUCCUUGCUGUUGCAAUCAUCACCUCUAUGUAAAUGCCAGAAUUUCUGCACCAAACCCUAGAAGGGACAGUGAACACAAGCAGAGAGAACUCCUCCAGGUGUGGGGGAGUUUACUGUUUGUCUAUAGCACUGUGACUCUCAGAGGGCUCACUGGUUGGUCUUAAACAUUUUUUGCUUUCACUGUUUGAGAGGUCUCUUCUGUCAAAGGGGUGCUCAGCUAAAGAAACCCAAAUUAAAUAUACCACCAGUAGAUGAUACCAUUGGGAAGGACCAAACUAGAAGACACACGAAUGACACUCCCUGCUAGGCCUU
ensembl:lncRNA